GACGAACGCUGGCGGCGUGCUUAACACAUGCAAGUCGAACGGUGAAAGCGGAGCUUGCUCCGCUGGACCAGUGGCGAACGGGUGAGUAACACGUGGGCAACCUGCUCCUCACUUCGGGAUAACUCCGGGAAACCGGGGCGAAUACCGGAUAUUACCUCCUUGGGCAUCCUUGGAGGUGGAAAGUUUCGCGGUGAGGGAUGGGGCCGCGGCCUAUCAGCUUGUUGGUGAGGUAGUGGCUCACCAAGGCGACGACGGGUAGCCGGCCUGAGAGGGCGACCGGCCACACUGGGACUGAGACACGGCCCAGACUCCUACGGGAGGCAGCAGUGGGGAAUAUUGCGCAAUGGGCGAAAGCCUGACGCAGCAACGCCGCGUGCGGGAUGACGGCCUUCGGGUUGUAAACCGCUUUCAGCAGGGAAGAAGCCGCAAGGUGACGGUACCUGCAGAAGAAGCACCGGCUAACUACGUGCCAGCCGCCGCCGUAA
rnacentral:rRNA from 1 species